AGAAGGGAUUGUUUAUGAGGGUCAAGGAGCUGGAGGCCUGGGGAGGAGCUGGUGUUUCUGUUCAAGUUUGAGGGUCCUGGAGCUGGAGCCCAGGGGAGGAGCCAGUGCUGCCACUGAUGUCUUAGGGUCGUGGAGCUGAAGAUCCCAGAGGAGCCGGUGCUGCUAUUCUAGCUUGAGUUUCGUGGAGCUGGAGACCCAGGGAGAAGAUGGUGCUGCUGUUCUAAUUUAAGGAUCGUGAAACAGAAGACCCAGAAAGGAGCUGGUGCUGCCGCUGCUCAGAUCUGAGGGUGUUGGAGCUGGAGCCUGGGGGUGGAGCCAUUGCUGCCAUUGAAGUGUGAGAGUCAUUGAGCUGGAAGUCCAGGAAGCAGCUGGUGCUGCUGUUCUAGUUUGAGGGUUGUGGAGUGCAGACCCAGGCAGGAGCAACAUUGCUGUAGUUCGAGGGUCAGAAAGCUGGCGACCCAGGGAGGAGAGGUCUUGUUCUAGUUUGAUUUUCGUGGAGCUGCAGACCCAGGCAGGAGCAAUGUUGCUGUAGUUCGAGGGUCCGGUAGCUGGCAACCCGGGGAGGAGAAGUCUUGUUCGAGUUUGAGGGUCGUGGAGCUGCCGACCCAGGGAGGAGCAAUUUGGUUGUAAUUUGAGGGUCCAGAAGCUGGAGACCCAGGGAGGAGAGAGAUCUUGUUCUGGUCUGAGGGUUGUGGAGCCACAGACCCAGGGAGGAGCAAUUUUGUUGUAAUUUGAGGGUCAGGAAGCUGGCGACCCAGGGAGGAGAGGUCUUGUUCUAGUUUGAGGGUCGUGGAGCUGCCGACCCAGGGAGGAGCAAUUUUGUUGUAAUUCGAGGAUCAGGAAGCUGGCGACCCAGUGGAGGAGAGGUCUUGUUCUGGUCUGAGGGUCAUGGAGCUGCAGACCCAGGGAGGAGCAAUGUUGUUGUAAUUCGAGGGUGUGGUAGCUGGCAACCUGGGGAGGAGAAGUCUUGUUCGAGUUUGAGGCUCGUGGAGCUGCCGACCAGGGAGGAGCAAUUUUGUUGCAGUUCGAGGGUCAGGAAGCUGGCGACCCAGGGAGGAGAGGUCUUGUUCUAGUUUGAGGGUCGUGGAGCUGCAGACCCAUGGAGGAGCAAUUUUGUUGUAAUUCGAGGGUCUGGAAGCUGGAGACCCAGGGAGGAGAGGUCUUGUUCUAGUUUGAGGGUCGUGGAGCUGCCGAACCAGGGAGGAGCAAUGUUGUUGUAAUUGGAGGGUCCGGAAGCUGGCGACCCAGGGAGGAGAGGUCUUGUUCUGGUGUGAAGGUCGUGGAGCUGCAGACCCAGGGAGGAGCAAUUUUGUUGUAAUUCAAGGGUCCGGAAGCUGGUGACCCAGGGAGGAGAGGUCUUGUUCUGGUCUGAGGGUCCUGGAGCUACAGACCCAGGGAGGAGCAAUGUUGUUGUAAUUUGAGGGUUCGGUAGCUGGCACCCUGGGGAGGAGAAGUCUUGUUCUAGUUUGAGGGUGGUGGAGCUGCAGAGCCAGGGAGGAGCAGUGUUGUUGUAGUUUGAGGGUCAUGGAGGUACAGACCCAGGGAGGAGCCGUGUUGUUUUGAGUGUCGUGGAGCCGGAGAUCCACGGAGGAGCUGG
rnacentral:lncRNA from 1 species